UUUCGGGAUACGUAAACUCA
rnacentral:miRNA from 1 species